UAUGUGAUCGUCUCUCGCAUAUCAAUAAGCGGAGGAAAAGAAACUAACAAGGAUUCCCCUAGUAACGGCGAGUGAAGCGGGAAGAGCUCAAAUUUGAAAUCUUAAAGGGUUUCCCUUUACGAAUUGUAGUUUAAAGAAGUGUUUUCUGUUGAGGUUUUGGUAAAAGUUCUUUGGAAUAGGACAUCAUAGAGGGUGAGAAUCCCGUAUUUGACCUUUACUUUCAACUUUGUGAUACACUUUCAAAGAGUCGGAUUGUUUGGGAAUGCAGUCCAAAAUGGGUGGUAAAUUUCAUCUAAAGCUAAAUAUUGGCGAGAGACCGAUAGCGAACAAGUACCGUGAGGGAAAGAUGAAAAGAACUUUGAAAAGAGAGUUAAACAGUACGUGAAAUUGUCAAAAGGGAAGCGUUUGACACCAGUGUUGUUUUUCUGAAAAUCAAUUAGAGAACUGUUUAUGCUAAGUUGUUUAGACUUUAUCAGCUAACUGUUUAGUUUUGAGCUUUUCUUUAAUGCACUUUUCAGUUAACAAGUCAACAUCAAUUUCUUUUGCUGUAAAAAAGCUUGAGGAAGGUGGCUUGAGAUUCGUCUUAAGUGUUUAUAGCCUCUUGCCUAUGCAGUCGGAGAGAUUGAGGUCUGCAGCGUAGAUCCUUCGGGGCUAAAUGCAUUUGUGCUAAGUUAUAGCAUUUUAUAGACAACUUGUUGACUAUGAUUUGUCUUGUAGCUUACUCGCUUAUGUUAUUUUACCUACGCUUAGGAUGUUGAGUAGCGACAUACGCAC
rnacentral:rRNA from 1 species